UACGGAGGAUGCGAGCGUUAUCCGGAUUUAUUGGGUUUAAAGGGUGCGUAGGCGGAAAUGUAAGUCAGUGGUGAAAUCCUGCAGCUUAACUGUAGAAUAGCCGUUGAAACUGUGUUUCUUGAGUACAUUUGAGGUAGGCGGAAUGUGGUGUGUAGCGGUGAAAUGCAUAGAUAUACCACAGAACACCGAUUGCGAAGGCAGCUUACUAAACUGUCACUGACGCUGAUGCACGAAAGCGUGGGUAUCAAACAGGAUUAGA
rnacentral:rRNA from 1 species